GGUGCAUAUGAUGUUGUUUGCGAUCAAAGCAUGAUAUGCCAUGAUUUCAAUUUUUAAACUACUGAUGCACC
ensembl:snoRNA